rnacentral:rRNA from 1 species
UGGGGAAUUUUCCGCAAUGGGCGAAAGCCUGACGGAGCAAUGCCGCGUGGAGGAUGAAGGCCUGUGGGUUGUAAUCUCCUUUUCUCAGAGAAGAAGUUCUGACGGUAUCUGAGGAAUAAGCAUCGGCUAACUCCGUGCCAGCAGCCGCGGUAAUACGGAGGAUGCAAGCGUUAUCCGGAAUCAUUGGGCGUAAAGCGUCUGUAGGUGGCUUGGUAAGUCGACUGUUAAAUCGUAGAGCUCAACUCUAUAUCGGCAGUCGAAACUACUUCGCUUGAGUGUGGUAGGGGCAGAGGGAAUUCCCGGUGUAGCGGUGAAAUGCGUAGAUAUCGGGAAGAACACCAACGGCGAAA